ACACUCUGGUUCCUCUUCAGAUCACAUAAAUUUCUCGCCUUUUAAUACCAAAGAUUUCUGUGGAGAAAAACAACUGAGCCUUUAACCAAAUUCUUGAGACUUUGUAUCUGCAGGGGU
rnacentral:snRNA from 1 species